rnacentral:rRNA from 1 species
GACAGAGGGUGCAAACGUUGUUCGGAAUUACUGGGCGUAAAGCGCGUGUAGGCGGCCCUGCAAGUCGGAUGUGAAAUCCCACGGCUCAACCGUGGAAGUGCAUUCGAAACUGCAGGGCUAGAGUCCUGGAGAGGAAGGUGGAAUGCUUGGUGUAGAGGUGAAAUUCGUAGAUAUCAAGCGGAACACCGGUGGCGAAGGCGGCCUUCUGGACAGUGACUGACGCUGAGGCGCGAAAGCGUGGGGAGCAAACAGG